rnacentral:rRNA from 1 species
AGAGUUUGAUCCUGGCUCAGAACGAACGCUGGCGGCGUGGAUAAGACAUGCAAGUCGAGCGGGGUAUUAUUUGUAGCAAUACAAAUGAUGCUCAGCGGCGCAAGGGUGCGUAACACGUGGGCAAUCUGCCGAAAAGUGGGGGAUAGCUCGCCGAAAGGCGAAUUAAUACCGCAUGUGGUUAGGAAGGACAUCCUUCCGACACUAAAGCCGGGGUAACCUGGCGCUUUUUGAUGAGCCCGCGGCCUAUCAGCUUGUUGGCGGGGUAACGGCCCACCAAGGCUAUGACGGGUAGCUGGUCUGAGAGGACGACCAGCCACACUGGAACUGAGACACGGUCCAGACACCUACGGGUGGCAGCAGUCGAGAAUUUUUCUCAAUGGGGGAAACCCUGAAGGAGCGACGCCGCGUGGAGGAUGAAGGUCUUCGGAUUGUAAACUCCUGUCAUUUGGGAACAAUUGUCACGCGUUAACUGCGCGGGGCUUGAUAGUACCAGAAGAGGAAGAGACGGCUAACUCUGUGCCAGCCGCCGCGGUAAUUC